GAUAGCCUAGCUGCUGCGCCUAAGUGUGAACUUAGUGGGCCAGUAAGAAUUUCAUACACACUUAUUAACGUGGCCUUGUAACUAAGCUAUAAAACAUGUCAAAAGUAAAACUUUUGCACAUGGGUGUCGGCCCUAAAGACCGUGUUCCCGCCAAAGCCGUAAAAUAAAGCAACACUAUUGAUUUAUAAAACUCUUUUCAACUAAGAUAACUUGCGCCCCCACUUUUAGAGAAAAAAAGAAUCUACCUUUUGCAUCAUGUGAGUUAGAACAUUGUAAAUAAUUUUUAUGUCCCGCACAGUGUAAAAUAAGAUAGAAACGAUAUGAAAUGUGGUAAAAUUUCUCUCAAUUUCUAUUUUGGAAUGAUAUGUUAAAAUUACGCUCCAUCUGGUUCAGGUAAAUAAUAUUUUAAAUAGCCUAAUAUAAAUAAGUAACCCUACCUAAGAAAAGUUAGCUAGUCUACCACUACUUUGGAUUUAAAAGUGUUAAAAAUAAAAUUAAUAAUGUUGAGAUUACUAUAUUAAAAUUAACCAUCUAAAAACAUUUAUACUCAGUGUGGGACCCCCCUGUAAAAACCUUAAACUAAUAUAAAAUAUUAGCCCAUAAGUAGCUAAACAGUUUGAAAAAACUACAAGAAUAAUUUUACGAUUAAAAUAAUAAUUUUUAAAUCUUUACUCUGCCCAUUUUAUCUGGCCUGUCUAUCAAAUACAUCUUAAAUAUGAUUUAUAUUGCCUGCUCAGUGAAUUAUUUUAACAGCCGCGCAAGUGCUAAGGUAGCAUAAUAAUUAGUUUCUUAAUUGGGAACAAGAAUGAAAGGUUUCACUAGGAUAGCAGAUAGUUUUACUUAAAGUGAAUUUUUACUAUUGGUGAAAAUACCAAUGUCGUCCAUUAAGACAAAAAGACCCUAUGAAGCUUUAUAACGAAUACAAAUUACAGCCACGCAUAUGUUAUUUUUUUGGGGUAAAAUUAAAUAAUUUUAUUUAGACUUAUCAGUUUAGUAAAUCCUUUUUGAAAAAUGAACUAGCUCCUCUAGGGAUAACAGCAUUAUUCUGAUGAGAGACCCUAUCGGAAUCAGAGUUUGUGACCUCGAUGUUGAAUUAAAUAACUUCUUAUGCGCAGAAGCUUAAGUAAGACUAGUCUGUUCGACUAAUAAAAUUUACAUGAUUUGAGUUUAGGUCGACGCAAGUCAGACCGGUUUUUAUCUAAUGUUUCACCACUAACUUUUUAGUACGAAAGGAAUUAAAGCUAUUUUUAGCGGAGUAAUCAACUGAUGUCAAAUUUUUAAUUUGAAAAUGGGAUAAAUUUCCCCGCGCUAAGCCGC
rnacentral:rRNA from 1 species